GCCAUCAUUCAGUUGGGCACUCUAGCGAGACUGCCGGUAAUAAACCGGAGGAAGGUGGGAUGACGUCAAAUCAUCAUGCCCCUUAUGACCUGGGCUACACACGUGCUACAAUGGUUGGUACAACGAGUUGCGAGUCGGUGACGGCGAGCUAAUCUCUUAAAGCCAAUCUCAGUUCGGAUUGUAGGCUGCAACUCGCCUACAUGAAGUCGGAAUCGCUAGUAAUUGCGGAUCAGCACGCCGCGGUGAAUACGUUCCCGGGCCUU
rnacentral:rRNA from 1 species